AGAGCGAACGCUGGCGGCAGGCCUAACACAUGCAAGUCGAGCGCCCGUAGCAAUACGGGAGCGGCAGACGGGAUAGUAACACGUGGGAACGCGCCCUUCGGUUCGGAAUAACUCAGGGAAACUUGAGCUAAUACCGGAUACGCCCUUACGGGGAAAGAUUUAUUGCCGAAGGAACGGCCCGCGUCCGAUUAGCUAGUUGGUGAGGUAAUGGCUCACCAAGGCGACGAUCGGUAGCUGGUCUGAGAGGAUGACCAGCAUCACUGGGACUGAGACACGGCCCAGACUCCUACGGGAGGCAGCAGUGGGGAAUAUUGGACAAUGGGCGCAAGCCUGAUCCAGCCAUGCCGCGUGGAUGAUGAAGGCCUUAGGGUUGUAAAGUCCUUUUAACGGGGAAGAUAAUGACGGUACCCGUAGAAUAAGCCCGGCUAACUUUGCGCCAGCAGCCGC
rnacentral:rRNA from 1 species